UAGCCAAACUCUAAAAUUCUGCCCAACAA
rnacentral:piRNA from 1 species